GCCUGGAUACACCGGUUCCCAUCCGAACACCGAAGUUAAGCAGGC
rnacentral:rRNA from 1 species